AGCGCGAAAGUCCCUUCGGCGGCGAGUAGAGCGGCGGACGGGUGAGUAUACAUAGGUAAUCUACCUUCGAGCUUGGGAUAACCCCGCGAAAGUGGGGCUAAUACCGGAUAGGACCACGUAACCAUGUUGCGGGGUAAAAGGUGGCUUAUUUUUUAAAUGAGCUAUCACUUGAGGAUGAGCCUGUGGCCUAUCAGCUUGUUGGCGGGGUAAAAGCCCACCAAGGCUAUGACGGGUAGCUGGUCUGAGAGGACGACCAGCCACACUGGGACUGAGACACGGCCCAGACUCCUACGGGAGGCAGCAGUGGGGAAUAUUGGGCAAUGGGCGAAAGCCUGACCCAGCGACGCCGCGUGGGCGAUGAAGGCCUUCGGGUUGUAAAGCCCUGUCAUGCGGAAAGAACGACCCUGUGACGCAUACUCACAGGGAGUGACGGUACCGCAGGAGGAAGCACCGGCUAACUCCGUGCCAGCAGCCGCGGUAAUACGGAGGGUGCAAGCGUUGUUCGGAAUUAUUGGGCGUAAAGGGCGCGUAGGCGGUAAUGUAAGUCAGAUGUGAAAUACUUCGGCUCAACUGAAGAACUGCAUCUGA
rnacentral:rRNA from 1 species